GACGAACGCUGGCGGCGUGCUUAACACAUGCAAGUCGAACGGAAAGGCCCUGCUUUUGUGGGGUGCUCGAGUAGCGAACGGGUGAGUAACACGUGAGUAACCUGCCCUUGACUUUGGGAUAACAUCAGGAAACUGGGGCUAAUACCGGAUAGGAGCUCCUGCUGCAUGGUGGGGGUGGGAAAGUUUCGGCGGUUGGGGAUGGACUCGCGGCUUAUCAGCUUGUUGGUGGGGUAGUGGCUUACCAAGGCUUUGACGGGUAGCCGGCCUGAGAGGGUGACCGGCCACAUUGGGACUGAGAUACGGCCCAGACUCCUACGGGAGGCAGCAGUGGGGAAUAUUGCACAAUGGGCGGAAGCCUGAUGCAGCAACGCCGCGUGCGGGAUGACGGCCUUCGGGUUGUAAACCGCUUUCGCCUGUGACGAAGCGUGAGUGACGGUAAUGGGUAAAGAAGCACCGGCUAACUACGUG
rnacentral:rRNA from 1 species